GGGAAAUCAAGUCCUAUAGCAAAACUAUUUCUUUUCCGUAUCCAAGAUGGAAAUUAUUCUAUAAGUUCUAUAUUCGAUCUUUGCUUUAAUUUUCAAUCUUGCAUAGAAAACUCUCUUCCACUGUUACAUUACUCCACCAUCGUUACUAUCCACAAACAGCUCUAGCCAUAAUCUUCUUUGCUUCCUCUUGUAUAUUGAUCAUUCCUUAGUUUGCUUUUCAUGUCUACUAUGGAUAUCUCCAUGAAAACAAUCAACCCCUCAAAACCCUUUUACGCAGAAACACAACAAAACAGAAAAUCCUUUCAAGAUCAACCCAGAAAGCCCUUACAAAGGAUUUGCAAGUUCUGGGUAAAGGGUAAAUGUGCUUAUAAGAAUAAUUGUAAGUUUCUUCAUUCUUGGUUCCAAUC
rnacentral:misc_RNA from 1 species